UGAAGUUCUGGACAUCAACAUAAUCAGAGAAAUGAGAACUGAAAGUCAAAGGGGACAUUUGACUUCAAAACAAUGACAUAAACAAUGUCAUAAAAGUGGCUCUGGAGUGCAUCAUUACUAGUUUGACCAUCUUCAUACAGAUAAAACACAACACUCUUAUUCAUGAAUCAGCACAUCCAUCCUCAACCUGAUCUUUCAUGUGGUGUCAAGGCCCUUCAGUGCAGAGAUUCGACAUCAAACUGAUGACAUGAAGAUGGCUGAAGUUAAGUGAAGUUUUGUA